UCAUUCUAUUAUAUUUUAAAGAAAUAAAAAGAAGAAACAAAUGACCCAAAAAGGAAAAAGACAAGAUAAACUAAAAGACAAAAAUAACUAAGAAAAGAAAAUUGCUAACUCAAACUACUCUAAUCAGCAACCUAAUUUGCCCCUACCAAACCCAACGCUAACCCCUCAUUAUCCCUUACAAUCCUUCACCCUUAAAACUCUCACCAAACUAACCUCAAACCUCCCAAACUCCUAAAAACUUUCACCCCAAACAUUAUCCCUUAGUAAACCCCUCACCUCACGUCCUCAUCCUAUCUUCCCCCAUCCUAAUCCCUUUAAACCUCCCCUCAACCAAAUAUUAUCUCUAAAAGUCCUAUUCCCCCCGUUUCCCACUCCAACUCAAACUCUUCCACACACAUUACCUUAUAUAAACACACUACACAAUAUACACAGGGACAAGAACAGAGAACGAGUAAUGCAAAAAUAUAAAAAGAGAGUAGUUUUUUUUAGCAAAAAAGAGCUUUGAGAGUUUGCGAUUCUGAGUUCUGGUUCCCGAUCGAGUUCCAACGGUGGAGUUCUUAUUACUGUUUCUUGUUGAUUUCGGCAUCAAAACUUAUUUCGUUGCAGUUGCAUCUUAUCAACAGGUUCGAAUUCGAGGUCGAAUCCUUUUGAAGAAGGGGAGGAUGAUAUGACCCUACUUGGCACACUCUACACAAGGAGUCACAUGCAAAGUCAAGACAUGGAACUCCAAGACAUGCAAGCUAUGUGGAUGACAAACAGGGCAUUAGGGAUCCAGGGAGAUGCAUAUAAGCCGCACAAGAAGGCUUAUGAAGUGUGGAAGGUAGCUUGGAAGGGAAUUGAAGAAGAAGCUACGAGAAAGAAGGCCGACACUCAAAGUGACUAGAAGCGCAAAAAGGAUAGAAACACAAAAGUGGCCAAACAUGCAAAGAAAGGGCAGAGAUGCAAAUGGUCACAAUUUCAAGCUUGGUGGACUGGACGAUGGCUAUUUGUGCAAAAGGGCUCAUUUCGAUUUUCAAGACAAUAUCUAAGAUAGCUAAACAAGGCCCUUGCCUCAUUAAGGGCAUUAUUGUAAUAGCUAGUUGCCUUCUAUUGCCUCUUAGUAUAAAUAUUAGACUUAGGUUAUUUUCAUCUUUAGUUGUUGUUGAAUGAUGAAUACUCAUAUGUGAGUUUAUAGAUUGUUAGGUAGUAUUGGGGCUAAAUUUAGCUAAUAUGAUGGAGGAUUCCAUUGUUGGUUUGUGAACCUUUUAUGUCCAUUGAUAUUCAUGAAGAGAUUGCCAUUUGUGGAUUCAAA